rnacentral:rRNA from 1 species
UGUAAGCGUAUACCAAAGUUGUUGCAGUUAAAACGCUCGUAGUCGGAAUUUGGCAGUUCCGGAUGUGUGCACGUCGUGUGCGCACUUCGCGGGGAUUGCUUUUGUGGUCUUGCGUAGGAUGAGGCACUUUUAUUAGUGAACGUCCUCACGCAAGCACUUUUUACUGUGAGAAAAUCAGAGUGCUCAAAGCAGGCAUUUGCCGUGAAUGUAUUAGCAUGGAAUAAUAGAAUAGGACUUGGUUCUAUUUUGUUGGUUUGUUGGGACUGAGUAAUGAUUAAGAGGGACAGUUGGGGGCAUUUGUAUUUCGGUGCUAGAGGUGAAAUUCUUAGAUUACCGAAAGACAAACUGCUGCGAAAGCGUCUGCCAAGGAUGUUUUCAUUGA